rnacentral:rRNA from 1 species
UACACUCCUACGGGAGGCAGCAGUGGGGAAUAUUGGACAAUGGGCGCAAGCCUGAUCCAGCCAUGUCGCGUGAGUGAUGAAGGCCCUAGGGUUGUAAAGCUCUUUCACCGGUGAAGAUAAUGACGGUAACCGGAGAAGAAGCCCCGGCUAACUUCGUGCCAGCAGCCGCGGUAAUACGAAGGGGGCUAGCGUUGUUCGGAUUUACUGGGCGUAAAGCGCACGUAGGCGGACUAUUAAGUCAGGGGUGAAAUCCCGGGGCUCAACCCCGGAACUGCCUUUGAUACUGGUAGUCUUGAGUUCGAGAGAGGUGAGUGGAAUUCCGAGUGUAGAGGUGAAAUUCGUAGAUAUUCGGAGGAACACCAGUGGCGAAGGCGGCUCACUGGCUCGAUACUGACGCUGAGGUGCGAAAGCGUGGGGAGCAAACAGGAUUAGAUACCCGUGUAGUCCCA